GUGGAAGUCCUAGGGAGGUUCGGGGGUGUGUGGACGGAAGUGACCGUGUGUAGAGAGUGUCAUGCGUGAGAGGGUGUAGUGGGGCGGAGGAGGUGGAAGUCAUACUUACCUGGCAGGGGAGACACCAUGAUCAGGAAGGUGGUUUUCCCAGGGCGAGGCUUAUCCAUUGCACUCGGGAUGUGCUGACCCCUGCGAUUUCCCCAAAUGUGGGAAACUCGACUGCAUAAUUUGUGGUAGUGGGGGGCUGCGUUCGCGCUUUCCCCUGAUUCUUCAUGGUGGCAAAGACAGAGAAGAGAGUGCUGUUCUGAGGUGUGGUGUUUUGGCUUAAUCAAGCUGGUUUGGUGUGGUUUUUCCGCUUCUAUGUGUUGCUACGGUUCCUCGCGAGCUUUUUACCUUUUUGAGUUUUGCGUUUGUUUUAUUUCGUGGCUUUACGUAUUGGUGUUUUGGGGUACGGAAGUUCUGUACUCCUGCGUGUACAUUCAGGGCAAAGGUGUGUUUGUUACGAGUAUAACAUGUGUGAAGGCACCGUAGUGCACGCAGUUCGCAUGAACGGGUGUGAUUUUUCGUAGGUGCUUUUUUUUUUAGUUUACAGGCUGAAAGGAACUCUUUGUGGGUGGUUCGUGCUGCGUAGGCCAAGGCCGUGGUGCACACACUUCCAAAAGCUAGGGAGAAACUGCCUGUACCGUGGUCCGGCUUCGUUUCCGUAUGUAACAUGUUUAGGCUACGCGAGGAAACAGCUUUGAAUUUUACACGUUAUAUUCUCUGCAAAUCAGAACCGCAGUCAGACCUGAAUCUUGGCCGGAAGCCUUGUGAUCCAACCAGAAACCUACAAUAGACAGUCUUGGGAGUGAAAGGUGACCAGUUUCUCCUCUUGUGAGAGGCUGCAACGAGGCUGCCUUGCUGCGUCCUACUCUUUAAAUACCUAACCUUGCCUAAGACUUCAUUUUUUAAGCGUUAGUUUCCUUGUUUGGUGUCUGUCUUGCUUUUACGCCUUAAAGCCGUUACUAGCCAAUUCCAGAGACACCACCCACUCAUCCUUCCCACCCCAAAGCAGCUUUUUCUAUUUCUGGCUUUGGUUUUCCCUUCCUUCCAUCUCUUCUCUCAGGCUCUUUCUUGAUACCUUUUAUAGACACGAAAACACUAGCUCGCUCUCAGCCUCCAGUUUGCACCUGACACUCUUCAGUAGUGUGGCAAAUUAGGAAACUUCCUUAAUAAGAGGGCAGCAAGAAUUUUGUCCUGGCAAAUAGAAACUACUUGGCCAAAAACAAACGGCAGGGCCAUGGCGGGAAGAACCAUCAAGCCUCCCUGGUGGCUACCUCAGGAACAGCAUUCAGAAACUGCUGAGACCACUGGAGAGACUAGGAGCAGGAGUUGAGUUGGAGGUCAUGAUCUCGCAGUUCCUAAGUUCAAGGCCCCCACAUCCGGCUCUGAGCAGAGCAGAUGAGCAGAAUGGAUGUUCUUCCGGAUCCGAAGAUUCGGUGUCUCCCUCUGUCUCGGCCCCUCCCCUGCUUGCACUCAGUCUCUCUCUCUCUCUCAAAAGAAAUAAAUGUUAAAAGAAUUUUUGGAAAAAAAGAUGAGUGGCUAUAAUUGUGGUAUAUUCAUUCAAAAAAAUACUACUCUUCAAUGGAAUGGAACAGAUUCCUGAUAUGUGGCAACAAUAAAGAUGAACCUCAAAAACAGCAUGUUGAGUGAUAAAAAGAAUACAUACUCUGUGGUUCCAUCCAUGUCAGUGUCUAGAACAGGCAAAACUAAGUGAUAGUGACAAAACUAGAUCACUGAUUGCCUGGGACAGGAGGUUGUGUGGGGGAUUGGCUGCAAACGGGCACAAGAAGACAUUUUGGAGCAAUAGAAAUGUUCUUUGCUCUUGAACAGGGUAGUGGUUGCCUGGGUGCAUCCAACUUGUCAAAACUCAUCAAACUUGAAAUGGAUCCAUUGUAUUAUUUACAAAUUACACCUUAAGACAUUUGGUUUUAAAAACAAAUCAUUCCAAUUUUAGUGUCUGAAGUGCAAUUAAUUAGUAUUAGCCUUGGAAAGUUCUUUUAGAAAACUGUCACUCAUGUAGUGAACAAUCCCUCCAUAUUUGUUUUGUAUCUUUUUCUUCCGUGAAAUUCAUGCCCUAUUAAACUCAAUACUUUCAAAUAAAAAUAGGCUCUAUAAGAGCUCAGUUUUUUAUAAAAGAAUAUUUGUAAAUAUAUCCUCCCUAUAGGUUUAUCAAAUAUGACUCCAUUAGUAAUUACCUAAUGCAUACAAAAUUAUUUUUUAUUUUAAGCUGUUUCAAAAUUUUACAUACACAUAUUUUGUACGUCAUUUGCAUUUUACCAUUUGUGUAAUUUUACCAUGUAUAGCUUUUGCAAAAAAUUUAGAACAACUUAAAAAUAGAUUUGAGGGAAAAAUAUGUAAAGAUGUUAGAAGUAGUUAAUUCCAGCUGGUGGGAUAAGGAUGAAUGCUUAUCUUCUUCUGUUUGUUUGUUUGUUUCAUGCCCGAGGUGGGGCUUGAUCUCAAGACCCUGAGACCAAGAGUCGCAUGCUCUAUGGACUAAGCCAGCCAGGUGCCCCUAUUUUUCAUAGUUUUAAACCUAAAAAAUGAAUGUCCUGGAAGUGAAAGAACAGAAUAGAUAUGAAAGAGGUGUGGGGUAGGUGAGAGGAAAACAUAAAGGGGAGGGAAAACCUGGUUCUGGCAGGAAGUGUGUUUAAGUUGGAGAGUUUGAGGGAGCACUUGUGGGCAUAAGAAGGGUUUGCGGGAGGCAGU